rnacentral:rRNA from 1 species
UACGAAGGGGGGCUAGCGUUGCUCGGAUUCAUUGGGCGUAAAGGGUGCGUAGGCGGCGCGGUAAGUCGGGUGUGAAAUCUCGGAGCUUAACUCCGAAACUGCAUUCGAUACUGCCGUGCUUGAGGACUGGAGAGGAGACUGGAAUUUACGGUGUAGCGGUGAAAUGCGUAGAUAUCGUAAGGAAGACCAGUGGCGAAGGCGGGUCUCUGGACAGUUCCUGACGCUGAGGCACGAAGGUCAGGGGAGCAAACGGG